rnacentral:rRNA from 1 species
UACGAAGGCCCCGAGCGUUGUUCGGAAUUACUGGGCGUAAAGCGAAUGUAGGUGGCGUAUUAAGUCAGAUGUGAAAUCCCUAAGCUUAACUUAGGACGUGCAUUUGAUACUGAUAUGCUCGAGUGCGAUAGAGGAGAGUGGAAUUCCAGGUGUAGGGGUGAAAUCCGUAGAUAUCUGGAGGAAUACCAAUUGCGGAGGCAGCUCUCUAGCUCGUAACUGACACUGAGAUUCGAAAGCGUGGGGAGCAAACAGG